CUUUAAGGAACUUUUAUUUGAGUGUCUUUGACUCAAAUGCUUACAGAUCUGGCUGUUUAUAGGUGUUUCAGAUGUCCGUUUUAUGAUCAUAUACGGGUCUGACAUUGGCUUGUGUGACAUUAGAGUUCUUAGUUACUAGUUUUGGGAGAUUUGAAGAUCUAAGUGAAUUUGAAGUCUUAUGCUUGACUUGACGUUGGAGCAAUCUUUGUAAAAGUUAUUCUCAUUAUCACCUGUUUGGAGUUUCACGAUGAAUGCUAGAAGGGGUCC
rnacentral:misc_RNA from 1 species